rnacentral:rRNA from 1 species
GAUGAACGCUAGCGAUAGGCUUAACACAUGCAAGUCGAGGGGCAUCACGAGGGUAGCAAUACUUUGGUGGCGACCGGCGUACGGGUGCGUAACACGUAUGCAACCUUCCUGUAAGUGUGGGAUAGCCUCCUGAAAGGGAGAUUAAUACCUCAUGAUAUGUAUUUGCUGCAUGGCAUUUACAUUAAACAUUUAUGGCUUACAGAUGGGCAUGCGUUCCAUUAGGCAGUUGGUGUGGUAACGGCUCACCAAACCUACGAUGGAUAGGGGUUCUGAGAGGAAGGUCCCCCACACUGGAACUGAGACACGGUCCAGACUCCUACGGGAGGCAGCAGUGAGGAAUAUUGGUCAAUGGCGCGAGCCUGACCAGCCACGUCGCGUGAAGGAUGACGGCCUUAUGGGUUGUAAACUUCUUUUACUAGGGGAAUAAAGUGAGUCACGUGUGAUUUUUGCAUGUACCUGUGAAUAAGCAUCGGCUAACUCCGUG